AAGGCGACGAUCAGUAGCCGACCUGAGAGGGUGAUCGGCCACAUUGGAACUGAGACACGGUCCAAACUCCUACGGGAGGCAGCAGUGGGGAAUAUUGCACAAUGGGCGAAAGCCUGAUGCAGCAACGCCGCGUGAGUGAUGAAGGCCUUCGGGUCGUAAAACCCUGUCCUCAAGGAAGAUAAUGACGGUACUUGAGGAGGAAGCCCCGGCUAACUACGUGCCAGCAGCCGCGGUAAUACGUAGGGGGCUAGCGUUAUCCGGAUUUACUGGGCGUAAAGGGUGCGUAGGCGGUCUUUCAAGUCAGGAGUGAAAGGCUACGGCUCAACCGUAGUAAGCUCUUGAAACUGGGAGACUUGAGUGCAGGAGAGGAGAGUGGAAUUCCUAGUGUAGCGGUGAAAUGCGUAGAUAUUAGGAGGAACACCAGUUGCGAAGGCGGCUCUCUGGACUGUAACUGACGCUGAGGCACGAAAGCGUGGGGAGCAAACAGGAUUAGAUACCCUGGUAGUCCACGCUGUAAACGAUGAGUACUAGGUGUCGGGGGUUACCCCCUUCG
rnacentral:rRNA from 1 species